rnacentral:misc_RNA from 1 species
GAAUUCUUAAUCACACUGGAGAACUUUUUGGUGGUCGAAUUAACCUGGACCCGCAGAUUGAUAAUUUCGCAAACACCAGGCAAGACAUAAUCUCAAGAAUUGGUGCGCCUGCAGCCCUAAAUCUUUUUCGAAGGGCUCUCUUCUCCGUUACAAUUGGCUCGAACGAUUUCAUUAAUAACUACUUCACACCUGUGGUCUCAGUUCCCGAGCAAAAGUUAAUUCCUGGACAGUUGUUUGUGGGCACCCUGAUAGCAAGAUUCAGACUACAACUAACGAGAUUAUACAAUUUGGGUGCUAGAAAAAUUGUUGUGGCAAAC